rnacentral:rRNA from 1 species
UACGGAGGGAGCUAGCGUUGUUCGGAAUUACUGGGCGUAAAGCGCGCGUAGGCGGCUUUGUAAGUUAGAGGUGAAAGCCCGGGGCUCAACCCCGGAACUGCCUUUAAGACUGCAUCGCUUGAAUCCGGGAGAGGUGAGUGGAAUUCCGAGUGUAGAGGUGAAAUUCGUAGAUAUUCGGAAGAACACCAGUGGCGAAGGCGGCUCACUGGACCGGCAUUGGCGCUGAGGUGCGAAAGCGUGGGGAGCAAACAGG